rnacentral:rRNA from 1 species
CCUACGGGGGGCAGCAGUGAGGAAUAUUGGUCAAUGGGCGCGAGCCUGAACCAGCCAAGUCGCGUGAGGGAAGACGGUCCUAUGGAUUGUAAACCUCUUUUGUCGGGGAGCAAAAGACGCCACGCGUGGCGUUCCGAGAGUACCCGAAGAAAAAGCAUCGGCUAACUCCGUGCCAGCAGCCGCGGUAAUACGGAGGAUGCGAGCGUUAUCCGGAUUUAUUGGGUUUAAAGGGUGCGCAGGCGGAAGAUCAAGUCAGCGGUAAAAUUGAGAGGCUCAACCUCUUCGAGCCGUUGAAACUGGUUUUU